AUGCCGACUGCAAUUUUCCGGGCCAUCUCAUUCUUAUCGGUGGCGCUCCUGCUUCUUCCUGUUUCUGGCCUGAACCAUGAAGGCACCGCCCUCCUCGCGUGGCUGUCGUCCUUCAACUCUUCUCUCUCCUCCGCUCUGUUCUCCUCGUGGGAUCCAACCCACAGCAAUCCAUGCAGAUGGGCUUUCGUUUCUUGCUCCAGCAGCGGUCUGGUUUCAGAGAUUUGCAUCAGAUCCAUCAGCCUCCACACAACUUUUCCCUCCCAGAUUCUUUCCUUCAGGUCCCUCGCCAAUCUCGUCCUGUAUGACACAAACAUCACCGGAGAGAUCCCACGGAUGAUUGCUAAUCUGACUUCUCUGCUCACGCUGGACCUCAGAUUCAAUGCCCUCAGCGGGAAGAUCCCACCGGGGAUGGGAAACCUUUCGUCGUUGCGGUCUCUCUACCUCAGUUCCAACUCACUGAAGGGUCCGAUACCGCGGGAGAUCUGCAACUGCUCGGAGCUCAGAGUGCUCGAGCUUGUCGACAACCAGCUCACCGGGACGAUUCCAGCAGAGAUCGGACGGCUUUCUUCUCUGGAAAUCUUCCGUGCAGGAGGAAACUCCGGUAUAUCCGGAGAGAUCCCACCGAGCAUUUCGAACUGCAAAGGACUAGUUCUUCUGGGACUCGCAGACACCGCAGUCUCUGGCCGCAUUCCAUCCGGCAUCGGGGAAUUGAGAAAUCUAAGAACUCUCUCUAUAUAUACCUCCAAUCUGUCAGGAUCCAUACCACCAGAAAUAGCCAACUGUUCGGCCAUAGAGUAUCUGUUCCUCUACGAGAACCAGCUUAGCCAGGGGAUUCCAUCCGAGUUGGGCCUGCUGAAGAGUCUCAAGUGAUCUUGCUUUGGAAGAACAGAUUCACUGGUGAUGUGCCGGAAUCAAUCGGCAACUGCACUGGUUUGACGGUCAUGGAUCUGUCCUUGAAUUAUCUGACGGGUGAAGUUCCAGCCUCGUUCGCCAAGCUGAUGUCUCUGGAGGUGUUUCUGCUGUCUUACAACAACAUCUCAGGAAGAAUCCCAGGUUUCGUGGGGAACCUUUCGAGACUGUCACAGUUAGAGCUAGAUAAUAACAGGUUCUCCGGUGAAUUGCCAACAGGAAUCGGACAGCUGAAAGAGCUGACUCAGUUCUUCGCAUGGCAGAAUCAGCUCCAUGGAAAUGUACCUUCCGAACUAGGUGGCUGUGGAAAGCUCGAAUCUUUGGAUCUUUCCUACAACUUCCUCACCGGUUUCCUGCCGGUUUCUCUGUUCAGGAUCAAGAGCUUGACGGAGCUCAUGCUCAUCUCUAACGGCUUCUUCGGUGAUCUACCUCCGGAUAUCGGAAACUGCACCAAAUUGGUCCGGCUGAGGCUCGGAUUCAACAGGUUCUCAGGCAGAAUGCCAGCGGAAAUCGGGCACCUGCGCAAUCUGAGCUUCCUCGAACUGUCCGAGAAUAUGAUCUCCGGUGAGAUACCGUCCGAGCUCGGAAACUGCACUCGACUCGAAAUGAUCGAUCUGCAUGAGAAUCGGAUUCAAGGUACCAUCCCUUCCUCGCUCGAGCACCUUCGGCAGCUUAAUGUGAUCGAUUUGUCGAGGAACAGGAUCGCCGGACCGGUUCCUGAGGUGCUGGGUAAGCUCAGAACUCUGAGCAAGCUCAUGCUGGGUGGGAACUACCUAAGUGGUUCGAUCCCGAAGACCUUGGGCCUUUGCGGGGACUUGGAGUUCCUCGACAUGAGCAGCAACAGGAUCGCCGGUCCGAUCCCGGAGGAGAUCGGUUACCUGCAAGGGUUAGAUAUAGUGCUCAACCUGAGCUGGAACUAUCUCUCCGGUCCUCUUCCUCGAGGACUCUCGAAUCUGUCGAAGCUGACCAGCCUCGAUGUCUCGCACAACAUGCUGACGGGAUCGUUGGAUGUGCUCGGCGGGCUCGACAACCUCGUAUUUCUCGAUGUCUCUUACAACAAUUUCUCGGGGUAUCUCCCUGAAACGACGUUCUUCCGGCAGCUGCCGGCUGCUUCCUUCGCCGGCAACCAGCAGCUGUGUGCCAACCGAAGUGACUGCCUCCUGCAGCUCAAGACGAGAAGCAAUCCUUCAAGACGAGCCAUCCUGAGCUGUGGGAUUGCACUAACAGUUGGCCUGGCAAUAAUGAUAGUUUGGCUACUGAUGUGGACUCGCAAACUAGCCGAGAGGAGAAGGAAGGAAGGCCAUGGAGACUGGCAAUGGGACUUCACAGUCUUCCAAAAGGUGUCUUUCUCGGUCGAUGACGUAGUGCAGGGGCUGUCGGAGACUAACGUCAUCGGAAGAGGUUCUUCAGGAGUAGUCUACAGAGUUGAGACCGGAGCUGGCCUCACCAUCGCCGUGAAGAAGCUGCGGGCGGAGAAGAAGAACGAGCAGCUUCAGGAGAGGGAUUGUUUCACCACCGAGGUGAAGAUUCAUGGCUCCAUCAAGCACAAGAACAUAGUGAGGCUUCUGGGUUGCUGCGUGAACAGACACGACGACACUCGCCUGCUCAUAUUCGAUCAUAUCAGCAACGGGAGUUUGGACGAUUUGCUUCACGGAAGCACUAAGAUGACGGUGGCGUGGGAGUCGAGGUACAAGAUCGCACUCGGUGCAGCUCAGGGCUUGGCUUACCUCCACCACGACUGCAAUCCUCCCAUCAUUCACCGCGACAUCAAAGCUCGGAACAUCUUAGUCGGCCUCGAAUUCGAACCCUAUCUUGCGGAUUUCGGACUCGCGAAGCCUGUCGAUCGUUCCGGGAGGACGAUGCCCUGCGGCGUCGUCGCUGGCUCUUACGGCUACAUCGCUCCUGAGUACAGCUACAGCCCAAGGAUCACCGAGAAGAGCGACGUGUAUAGCUACGGCGUUGUUCUCCUGGAGAUCUUAACCGGGCUGCAACCGAGCGAUGCGAGGAUCCAGGGAGCGCAUAUCGUGGACUGGGUGCGGAGAGAACUCAGGGCAGCUAAUUCUCCGGCGGCCGCCGUCCUGGACGGAAGUUUGAGGAAUCAAACGGACGUGGAGGUGCAGGAGAUGGUCCAGGUGCUCGGCGUGGCGCUGCUGUGCGUGAAUCCGGCGCCAGAGGAGCGGCCUUCCAUGAGGGACGUCGCAGCUUUGCUCAGGGAGAUCAGGAUAGUGAGCCGACAUCUGCAGGAAGCCGGUGAUCACCCGGAGAAAGGCUUUGAAAACUGUGCCAAUGCCGCAGCAUGCAGUAGCUUCUCCCGAGCCUCAGUGCCCAUGAUAAGCUCAUCAUCUUCGACGUCAUCUUCCCUGUAGUCGUGGAUCACGGGUGGCUUCAUUCAACUGCAUCAUCUCAAGAUGUUUCAUGAACUUGGCUUUGUAAUUUAUUGAUUCUUUUUUUUUGGUAAUCCGUGCUAAAGAUCUCGUAACAUUAAGCCACAGGAUCAUGCAAUUUGA